AGAGUUUGAUCAUGGCUCAGGACGAACGCUGGCGGCGUGCUUAACACAUGCAAGUCGAGGGGGGGUAGCAAUACCUCACCGGCGAACGGGUGCGUAACACGUGAGCAACCUACCGAUUUGUGGGGGAUAGCCGGCCCAACGGCCGGGUAAUACCGCAUACGCUCUUUUCGGGGAUUCUCGAGGAGAGGAAACCUCCGGGGCAAAUCGAGGGGCUCGCGGCCUAUCAGCUAGUUGGCGGGGUAAUGGCCCACCAAGGCGAUGACGGGUAGCUGGUCUGAGAGGAUGGCCAGCCACAUUGGGACUGAGAGACGGCCCAGACUCCUACGGGAGGCAGCAGUGGGGAAUCUUGCGCAAUGGUCGAAAGACUGACGCAGCGACGCCGCGUGCGGGAGGAAGCUCUUCGGGGUGUAAACCGCUGUUGCCCGGAACGAAACUCAGGAUUCGUCCUGAUUGACGGUACCGGGUGAGGAAGCGCCGGCUAACUCUGUGCCAGCAGCCGCGGUAAUACGGAGGGCGCGAGCGUUGUCCGGAAUCACUGGGCGUAAAGGGCGCGUAGGUGGCGACAUAAGGCGGUGGUGAAAGUCUGGGGCUCAACUCCAGAUCGGCCGCGGCGACUGUGUUGCUUGGGCACCGUAGAGGCAGAUGGAAUUCCGGGUGUAGCGGUGGAAUGCGUAGAGAUCCGGAAGAACACCAGUGGCGAAGGCGGUCUGCUGGGCGGUGAGCUCGCAAGGGCUCAAGAGCCGACACUGAGGCGCGACAGCGUGGGGAGCAAACAGGAUUAGAUACCCUGGUAGUCCACGCCGUAAACGAUGGGCACUAGGUGCUCCGGGGAGCGACCCUUGGAGUACCGGCGCUAACGCAUGAAGUGCCCCGCCUGGGGAGUACGGCCGCAAGGCUGAAACUCAAAGGAAUUGACGGGGGCCCACACAAGCGGUGGAGCAUGUGGUUUAAUUCGACGCGACGCGAAGAACCUUACCAGGCCUUGACAUCCAAUGAACUUUCCAGAGAUGGAUUGGUGCCUUCGGGAACAUUGAGACAGGUGCUGCAUGGCUGUCGUCAGCUCGUGUCGUGAGAUGUUGGGUUAAGUCCCGUAACGAGCGCAACCCUUGUCCUUAGUUACCAGCACGUAAUGGUGGGCACUCUAAGGAGACUGCCGGUGACAAACCGGAGGAAGGUGGGGGUGACGUCAAGUCAUCAUGGCCCUUACGGCCUGGGCUACACACGUGCUACAAUGGUCGGUACAGAGGGUUGCCAAGCCGCGAGGUGGAGCUAAUCCCACAAAACCGAUCGUAGUCCGGAUCGCAGUCUGCAACUCGACUGCGUGAAGUCGGAAUCGCUAGUAAUCGCGAAUCAGAAUGUCGCGGUGAAUACGUUCCCGGGCCUUGUACACACCGCCCGUCACACCAUGGGAGUGGGUUGCACCAGAAGUAGCUAGUCUAACCUUCGGGGGGACGGUUACCACGGUGUGAUUCAUGACUGGGGUGAAGUCGUAACAAGGUAACCGU
rnacentral:rRNA from 1 species